GAAAUUAAGGAGAAUCAUCUUUUUACAACUUGUAAUUAAAUAGAUUUAGUUGGCUUGGCUAUGAUUGCACUGAAUGACUAUGGUUUCGGCAUAAAUUGGGCACUUACAAACUACUAUUCAUAAUUGAUAAUUGGGAACCAGUUCAGGAUUUAUUGUUCGUUAUAAAAAAAAUUUCUCAAUGGAGAAUGGAACUCUUAAUCUUUAUUCCAGAUGCCUUUUUGUAUUCAUCAUUCUUUUGGUAAUUGAUUGUUGAAAAGACUUGGUUCCUUUAAAUAUUUAAAUAUGUUGAUGGAUGUCUAUGCAGGGCCAUAAUUACUGUUCAAAAUUCAAAUGGCUGGGAUAAUGAGAGAGAUUUCCUAUCACAGAUGAAUUGCACCAAGGAUGAGCCUUGUGUCCGUUUCACUUUGGUCAUGAAUGAGUUGACAAUGUAUAUCAAAGAGCUUGGCAUAUGAUGUUCGUUGAUAGUAUGGUUUUAAUUAGCAAAACCUGAUUUGGA
rnacentral:misc_RNA from 1 species